rnacentral:rRNA from 1 species
UACGUAGGUGGCUAGCGUUGCUCGGAAUCACUGGGCGUAAAGCGCACGUAGGCGGACUCUUAAGUCGGUGGUGAAAUCCUGGAGCUCAACUCCAGAACUGCCUUCGAUACUGGGAGUCUCGAGUUCGGGAGAGGUGAGUGGAACUGCGAGUGUAGAGGUGAAAUUCGUAGAUAUUCGCAAGAACACCAGUGGCGAAGGCGGCUCACUGGCCCGAUACUGACGCUGAGGUGCGAAAGCGUGGGGAGCAGA